ACGGAUGUGGUGAAAUGGUAGACACGAUAUAUUUAGGAUAUAUUGGUUUUAUACUAUGUGGGUUCAAAUCCCACCAUCCGUA
rnacentral:tRNA from 1 species